rnacentral:lncRNA from 1 species
UUGUCUAAAUGAAAGCUAUAUAAAGGGGUCGUAGUGAAGCUUAAGAAGACAACAACUUUUCUCAUUUGUUUCAAAGAUGGGGAAAAUGGCUUCUCUAUUUGCCACUCUUUUUGUAGUUUUAGUGUCACUUAGCUUAGCUUCUGAAAGCUCAGCAAAUUAUCAAUACUCAUCUCCACCACCACCUAAGAAACCAUACCUCUACAAGUCUCCUCUUCCACCAGUGCAUGUCUAUCCAUCACCACCCCACCACCCUGUAUAUAAGUCUCCACCGCCACCUAAGAAGCCAUACCACCCUUCACCAACACCAUAUCAUCCUGCACCCGUUUAUAAAUCUCCACCACCACCAACUCCAGUUUACAAGUCACCACCACCACCCAAGAAGCCACACUAUCCUCCACACACCCCGGUUUACAAGUCGCCACCACCACCAACUCCCGUUUACAAGUCACCACCACCACCCAAGAAGCCAUCCUACCCUCCACACACCCCAGUUUACAAGUCGCCACCACCACCAGCUCCGGUUUACAAGUCACCGCCGCCACCCAAGAAACCAUACUACCCUCCACACACCCCUGUUUACAAAUCUCCACCACCACCGACUCCAGUUUACAAGUCGCCACCACCACCCAAGAAGCCAUACUACCCUCCACACACCCCGGUUUAUAAGUCUCCACCACCACCAA